GUCCCUUUAGCUCAAUUGGAAGAGCACUAGAUUGAAGUCCUAGCGGUCUCGGUUCGAUCCCGAGGGGGGACAC
rnacentral:tRNA from 1 species